rnacentral:rRNA from 1 species
ACCCUGGGAUUAGAUACCCCACUAUGCUUCGCCCUAAACAUUGAUAGCUUUAUACAACCCCUAUCCGCCUGGAAACUACGAGCAACAGCUUAAAACCCAAAGGACUUGGCGGUGCUUUAGACCCACCUAGAGGAGCCUGUUCUAUAACCGAUAACCCCCGUUUAACCUCACCUUUCCUUGUCAUUUCCGCCUAUAUACCGCCGUCGCCAGCUUACCCUGUGAAGGUCCCCUAGUAAGCACAAUUGGUACAACCCAAAACGUCAGGUCGAGGUGUAGCGUAUGGAGAGGGAAGAAAUGGGCUACAUUCCCUGUUACAGCGAAUCACGGAUAAUAUUACUGAAACGUGUAUCUAGAAGGAGGAUUUAGCAGUAAGCGGAAAGCAGAGCGUCCCGCUG